GAAGGUAUAGCUCAAGUGGUAGAGCACAUGCUUAGCAUGCACAAGGUCCUGGGUUCAAUCCCCAGUACCUCCA
rnacentral:tRNA from 1 species